UGGGCCGGCCCCAUAAUUUACAUCACAUGGCGUAAAUCACUUCCUCAUUUAGCCUAGGCCUUAAAUCGCUAUAUGUAGCAGCAUUUGGAUGGUGCUGUGUUGCUCGGCUCUUUCGGAAUAUAACCCCCCGGUCGCUGCAAGGAAGAUUGCAGUUUUUGACGGUGAGCUCCCAGCGAACACUCGGCCACAUUCCUCCCUUGUCCUAAGCCCCUCGGUCUGCUGAUAAGGUGGGUUCUGCACUACGACUGGUCGAAUUGGCACUCAGUUUAGCGUGGAUGCAAGGUAAUACCAGCAUGUACUGUCAUGGGUUGCAUUGCGUAUCUGUUGCUGUUCAAAUGUAAUGCUAAUGCUACUCUGUUUGCCUUCAGGAAGAGCUACCUAUUGCCAUUGCUGUUUUGCCUUGUAUUUUAUUUAUGAUUUCUACAAUUUGUUUUGUUUACGUGUACUAUAUCUCGCACACAGACGCGGCUGUCUGGGCUGGCUGAUUGCGGGUGAUCUGUCUCGUUACGCCUGCAUGUCCGUGUGCUUUGAGGGGGGGAAGUUUGUCUGCGUCUCGGAUCAUUUUAUUGUUUGUUUUGUUUGUGACCAACUGUGUUCGUCUCGUAGAUACAAUUAAGCUGCAUCAGCAUCACCCUUAGUGGCUGUAUAUCGCCACAGCUGGGGAUCGGUCGGGCCCACUGGUG